rnacentral:rRNA from 1 species
GAUGAACGCUGGCGGCGUGCCUAAUACAUGCAAGUCGAGCGAACAGACGAGGAGCUUGCUCCUCUGACGUUAGCGGCGGACGGGUGAGUAACACGUGGAUAACCUACCUAUAAGACUGGGAUAACUUCGGGAAACCGGAGCUAAUACCGGAUAAUAUAUUGAACCGCAUGGUUCAAUAGUGAAAGACGGUUUUGCUGUCACUUAUAGAUGGAUCCGCGCCGCAUUAGCUAGUUGGUAAGGUAACGGCUUACCAAGGCAACGAUGCGUAGCCGACCUGAGAGGGUGAUCGGCCACACUGGAACUGAGACACGGUCCAGACUCCUAAGGGAGGCAGGAGUAGGGAAUCUUCCGCAAUGGGCGAAAGCUUGACGGAGCAACGCCGCGUGAGUGAUGAAGGUCUUCGGAUCGUAAAACUCUGUUAUUAGGGAAGAACAAAUGUGUAAGUAACUAUGCACGUCUUGACGGUACCUAAUCAGAAAGCCACGGCUAACUACGUG